rnacentral:rRNA from 1 species
GGAGGGUGCAAGCGUUAAUCGGAAUUACUGGGCGUAAAGCGCGCGUAGGCGGUUUGGUCAGUCGGAUGUGAAAGCCCUGGGCUUAACCUGGGAAUGGCAUUCGAUACUGCCUGACUAGAGUAUGGUAGAGGGAAGUGGAAUUUCCGGUGUAGCGGUGAAAUGCGUAGAUAUCGGAAGGAACACCAGUGGCGAAGGCGACUUCCUGGGCCAAUACUGACGCUGAGGUGCGAAAGCGUGGGGAGCAAACAGGGAUUAGAUACCCUGGUAGUCCACGCCGUAAACGAUGAGAACUAGAUGUCGGGAGGGUUGCCUUUCGGUGUCGCAGCUAACGCGUUAAGUUCUCCGCCUGGGGAGUACGCCGGCAACGGUA